rnacentral:rRNA from 1 species
AACGCCAAGAACUUACCUGGUCUUGACAUCGCGCGGAAGUUUUCAGAGAUAAGAAUGUGCCUUCGGGAACCGUGAGACAGGUGCUGCAUGGCUGUCGUCAGCUCGUGUUGUGAAAUGUUGGUUAAGUCCCGCAACGAGCGCAACCCUUAUCCUUUGUUGCCAGCGGUCCGGCCGGGAACUCAAAGGAGACUGCCAGUGAUAAACUGGAGGAAGGUGGGGAUGACGUCAAGUCAUCAAGGCCCUUACGACCAGGGCUACACACGUGCUACAAUGGCGCAUACAAAGAGAAGCGACCUCGCGAGAGCAAGCGGACCUCAUAAAGUGCGUCGUAGUCCGGAUUGGAGUCUGCAGCUCGACUCCAUGAAGUCGGAAUCGCUAGUAAUCGUGGAUCAGAAUGCCACGGUGAAUACGUUCCCGGGCCUUGUACACACCGC